rnacentral:rRNA from 1 species
AUUGAACGCUGGCGGCAUGCCUUACACAUGCAAGUCGAACGGCAGCACGGGAGCUUGCUCCUGGUGGCGAGUGGCGAACGGGUGAGUAAAGCAUCGGAACGUGCCCUGAAGUGGGGGAUAACGUAGCGAAAGUUACGCUAAUACCGCAUAUUCUGUGAGCAGGAAAGCAGGGGAUCUUCGGACCUUGUGCUUUAGGAGCGGCCGAUGUCGGAUUAGCUAGUUGGUGGGGUAACGGCCUACCAAGGCGACGAUCCGUAGCUGGUCUGAGAGGACGACCAGCCACACUGGGACUGAGACACGGCCCAGACUCCUACGGGAGGCAGCAGUGGGGAAUUUUGGACAAUGGGCGAAAGCCUGAUCCAGCAAUGCCGCGUGUGUGAAGAAGGCCUUCGGUUGUAAAGCACUUUUGUCCGGAAGAAAUACCGCCUGGCCAAUACCCGGGCGGGAGUGACGGUACCGGAAGAAUAAGCACCGGCUAACUACGUGCCAGCAGCCGCGGU